rnacentral:rRNA from 1 species
UACGGAGGGGGCGAGCGUUAUUCGGAAUUAUUGGGCGUAAAGGGCGCGUAGGCGGCUGUACAAGUCAAAGGUGAAAUCCCUCGGCUCAACUGGGGAGGGUCAUUCGAUACUGAUCGACUCGAAGGCAGGAGAGGGUAGUGGAAUUCCCGGUGUAGUGGUGAAAUGCGUAGAUAUCGGGAGGAACACCAGUGGCGAAGGCGACUACCUGGCCUGUUCUUGACGCUGAGGCGCGAAAGCUAGGGGAGCAAACGGG